rnacentral:rRNA from 1 species
AGUGAACGCUGGCGGUAGGCCUAACACAUGCCAGUCGAACGGCAGCACAGUAAGAGCUUGCUCUUACGGGUGGCGAGUGGCGGACGGGUGAGGAAUACAUCGGGAUCUACUUUUUCGUGGGGGAUAACGUAGGAAAACUUACGCUAAUACCGCAUACGACCUACGGGUGAAAGCAGGGGAUCUUCGGACCUUGCGCGAUUGAAUGAGCCGAUGUCGGAUUAGCUAGUUGGCGGGGUAAAGGCCCACCAAGGCGACGAUCCGUAGCUGGUCUGAGAGGAUGAUCAGCCACACUGGAACUGAGACACGGUCCAGACUCCUACGGGAGGCAGCAGUGGGGAAUAUUGGACAAUGGGCGCAAGCCUGAUCCAGCCAUACCGCGUGGGUGAAGAAGGCCUUCGGGUUGUAAAGCCCUUUUGUUGGGAAAGAAAAGCAGCAGGUUAAUACCCCGCUGUUCUGACGGUACCCAAAGAAUAAGCACCGGCUAACUUCGUG